AUGUGCAACGCGGCCGCUCCGGCGUUGACUGCGCCGUGCACAUCCACCUGACGACUGCGCGCUAGGUUCUGUUAGCC
rnacentral:sRNA from 2 species